GAUAUCAUUUAUGAUUCCCCCCCACACACUUAUUCUCCUCUAGUGUCUAUCAAAUAGUUGUUGAGGAAGAACGUCCUUGAAGAACUAAAAAGACAACAGAGGUCUUGAAGUGCUACCCAGUGCCUAUUCACUUCCAGAAUGCUUCCAUCCUGAACUCACAGUACUACUUUGCUGCAGAAUUCCCAUCAGACAGCCUCCAAGCUGCUCAGCUUUUUACUAUUGGUAACAAGACAGUCCAUGGAUACUGGA
rnacentral:lncRNA from 1 species